rnacentral:rRNA from 1 species
UACGGAGGGGGCAAGCGUUGUUCGGAAUUACUGGGCGUAAAGGGCGCGCAGGCGGCUGCUCAAGUCAGGCGUGAAAGGCCUGGGCUCAACCCGGGAAUUGCGCUUGAGACUGGGCUGGCUUGAGUGCGGGAGAGGAUGGUGGAAUUCCCAGUGUAGAGGUGAAAUUCGUAGAUAUUGGGAAGAACACCGGUGGCGAAGGCGGCCAUCUGGACCGCAACUGACGCUGAGG